CAUCUGCAAACUUGUUGAGGGUGCAAUUAAUCCCAUCAUCCAGAUCAUUAAUAAAGACGUUGAACAAAACCGGCCCCAGGACUGACCCCUGGGGCACUCUGCUUGAUACCAGCUGCCAACUAGUCAUUAAGCCGUUGAUCACUGCCCGUUGAGCCUGAUGAUCUAGCCAGCUUUCUAUC